UACAGAGGUCUCAAGCGUUGUUCGGAUUCAUUGGGCGUAAAGGGUGCGUAGGUGGCGCCGUAAGUCAGGUGUGAAAUUUCGGAGCUUAACUCCGAAACUGCAUUUGAUACUGCGGUGCUUGAGGACUGGAGAGGAGACUGGAAUUUACGGUGUAGCAGUGAAAUGCGUAGAGAUCGUAAGGAAGACCAGUGGCGAAGGCGGGUCUCGUGGACAGUUCCUGACACUGGAGGCACGAAGGCCAGGGGAGCAAACGGG
rnacentral:rRNA from 1 species